rnacentral:lncRNA from 1 species
UCUAAGGUAAAUUUUGAAUUCAAUCAAAUACAAAAAAACAAAUCUAAUUUUUAAACUAAUAUUCUAAUUCUAUUUUUAGAUUUUUGAAAUGAAGAUUGUUAUAUAGAUAAUAAGAAAGAAACAACAGAUUGCUUUUACGUGUAGUUUAAUAAAAAAAAAAGAAGAAAAGAAAUGUAGGAACAAAUUAGUUUUAAAAGAGAAGAGAAAAAUCUGUCGUGGAGGGCUUUAG